GCGGACGGCUCCGUCACGGGGAUGGGCUAUGCCAUGGCACAGGUCGUUAGUCCAGGGACCAUGGAAAUCCAGAGCCGUCAUCCCAUCGUCGUGCCCCCGUCAUUGCGGGGUUGCUCUUGGAUCUCGAGGGAACGAGGGCGGCAUCGAGGACGGCUGGCGGCGUGGUGGGAUGGAGGAGAACGGCGACGUGGUGGAUCGAGGGCGGCAUCGAGUUCGUGCUCGAUCUGGUGGUCAAGUAAGCUCUUUUUUUUUCCGCCGCCCCUCUAUUGAUUCACAGACCUUUUCUUGAACUCCAGCGUCCGUAGGUUCCCACUUCGGGAAGAGUUCGCCGAUAACCUUGAGCACCCGGAUCCGAUGCCGCUGAGGCUGCUGCCCAGGGGGGAGGUUGGCGCUCUUGGCCCGGAGGAUUCAAAUGGUGAAUCUGGUUAAUCGGGAGGCACCUGGAUGGACCAAAAGGUUAAGACUAAGGAAUGCACCGCCGGACAGAACUUUGUGCGCUUCAUGGAUGAGCGCACUGGAGCAAUCGAUACGGAAGUUUGACGAGGAACUGGCGAAGAGUGUGAUUAAACCAGAAAUAGGAACAAGUUUCGGUUCAUUGGGGAAGCGUGAGGCUGAGUUCCUAAGAAUGUUGGGAGGAUCGGUUCCUAUGACAAUUUUGACUGAUCAAAACAGAGCAAUGGAGGUGGCAAUCAGCCGGAUUUUUCCACAAACUGUGCAUAUGUAGUGCAAGUGGCACAUCUUGAAGAAGGCUAAGGGGUGCAUGAGGACACUGUGCACAAAGAAGAACAAGUUCAGAGCUGAGUUCCAUAAAAUGGCGAACCACAUGCUGACAGUAUAUCUGUAGAUGAGUUCAAGUCAGUCUGGGCUAUGUUGCUUGAUAAAUAUAACCUCAGGCAGCACCUGUACAUGACACAGAUUUAUGAUAUAAGAGAAAAGUGGGCGAAGCCUUAUUUCAAGGGCGUGUUCUGUUCUGGGCUAUGUAGCACAUGAACUGGCAAAAUGGGCCAUAUUUGCCCCUCCUAGUAUGGCGAAGAUGACAAGCACCCAAUGGAGUGAGAGGGUGAACCAUAUGCUGAAGAUAUGCGUGCCGCCAGCCAGCCCGAUGCACAUGUUUGUCAAGCAGUAUAUGAGACUUCAGUUUGACAGGGAGAGAGAGGAGAGCUAUGAGGAGAAAAAAACUAUGAUUGGUGGUGUUGUGAGGAGUACAAACCUUGAGAUCGAGAGACAUGCGAGCAAGUUGUACCCAAGAGCCAUGUCACUGAGCUUGAGAAAGGUCGACAGUAUCUGACAACCCACAAUAAUGCUUCAAAGCGAGAGAGAUUGAGCAGGGUGGUGUAUGAGUUCAUGAGUAAGGACAGAGGUUCCCAAUUUGAGUGCGAGUGUGGGCAUUUUGAACACACAGGCAUGCUAUGUUGUCAUGUGAAAGGGAGGACAGUGGCGUGUACAUUGUGCACUACGGCCGCGAGUUCACUGGGUUGUGCCACCGGUCACCGCUGAGCAGGGUAAGAUGCAAGAAUAGCAGCUUGGAAGCCUGGAAGAUGCAGGAACAGCAGCCUUGAAGGUCACUGCCGGUACACCUGCACCACACCAGGCCUCUUGGAGGGCCUCUGUUCUGAAGUGCAUUUGUGUAUUGUGGCGAUUUGAUUUGAGGAUUUUCUAGUGUGUUCGGUGAGCUCUGCUCCACGCUUGUUCCUCUGUAGACUGUAGUUGAAUUCCGGUAAUGUUGUGGCAUUAAUUUAGUUUGCCAUCUGUUCGGACUUUGGAAAAAAAUUGACUGCAUGUCACGAUGCCGUAUGCACUGAUAAGUGUCAUUUGUUCAGACAUGAUUACCAUGGGUAAGCUCGUGUGCCUGGCAGCAGCUGCCGGGGAGAUAUUUAUGAAAGUACAGUGCCUCUGCUUUGGGUC